rnacentral:rRNA from 1 species
GCAGUCGAGCGAGGCGGUUGGGCUUGCCCAACCAGUCGAGCGGCGAACGGGUGUAGUAACGCGUGGAUAUCUACCCUUUGGUGGGGGAUAACCCGGGGAAACUCGGGCUAAUACCGCAUGAGAUCCCGCUUUGCGGGAUCAAAGGGGGCCGCAAGGCUCCCGCCGAAGGAUGAGUCUGCGUCCGAUUAGCUAGUUGGUGAGGUAAUGGCUCACCAAGGCGACGAUCGGUAGCCGGCCUGAGAGGGUGAUCGGCCACACUGGAACUGAGACACGGUCCAGACUCCUACGGGAGGCAGCAGUGGGGAAUUUUGCGCAAUGGGGGAAACCCUGACGCAGCAACGCCGCGUGGAGGAUGAAGGUUUUCGGAUUGUAAACUCCUGUCAGUGGGGAAAAAGCGAGCUGGCUUAAUACGUCAGUGAGUUGAUUGUACCCGCANAGGAAGCCCCGGCUAACUCUGUGCCAGCAGC